rnacentral:rRNA from 1 species
UACGUAGGGGGCAAGCGUUAUCCGGAAUCAUUGGGCGUAAAGGGUGCGUAGGCGGCUAGGUAAGCGUGGGGUGAAAGGCAUUGGCUCAACCGAUGUAAGCCUCGCGAACUGCUUAGCUUGAGUACAGGAGAGGAAAGCGGAAUUCCUAGUGUAGCGGUGAAAUGCGUAGAUAUUAGGAGGAACACCAGUGGCGAAGGCGGCUUUCUGGACUGAAACUGACGCUGAGGCACGAAAGCGUGGGGAGCAACCAGGAUGAGAUACCCUGGUAGUCCACGCCGUAAACGAUGAGCACUAGGUGUCGGGGUCGCAAGGCUUCGGUGCCGCAGUUAACGCAUUAAGUGCUCCGCCUGGGGAGUACGCACGCAAGUGUGAA